CCUAGCGCUUGAUCUACCAUCUCAGUAUUUGAAGCAGCUACCUUGGUUAACGCUGCAUCUAUCUUCUUCUUGAUAUCUUCGUUCUUGAGUGCCUCAUCCACCUUCUUACGUCGCUGCUCAUUCUCCUUCCACCCUUCUGGUUUCUGGCUUGGGUUGAGAUAAUAGCAUUUGACCCAGGGAUGCUUUGCACCACAAACGCAGGUUCUCGAUCUUGGUUGUCCUGCUUGCCGGCCAUUUAAGGUAGCAAGGUUGGACACAAGCAGUCCUGGCUUGCUGUAUCCCUUCUUGCGAUAUUCGGAUCGGAAAUCAUUGACCACAUCUGCGAAGGAGAAGUUCUCCUUUCCUCCUAUCUCAACUUCCCUCUUUCGGACGGUAGCGUACGGAUUAUCGAUAGGUACAUUGGCAUAGAAGAAAUCCUCCCAUAUAUCAAAGCUGCCAUCCAUACCAGAGUGCUUGAUUUCUGUUUCAAUCAGGAUCCAGGCAUCUAACCACUGAUCUAGGUUCUGUUUAGGCACUUUUCGCAAGCUCUGAUACUUCCUCCAUACCUCGUACUGGUGGUCCGCAGUUCUAGGUGAUAACCUCUUCUUAAGAGCAAUUAGAAUAUCCUUGACAUCCAUGUAAUCAUUUCCAGAAGUUGCUACUUCUAGCUCACUAAAUGCCACUGUUCUGAAGAUCUCCUGCCUGAUCUUGCUAACACCUUCGAGCUUGUCCCGAUAGAUGUUGUAAUCAUUGUUGUACUUGGCAUUCUCCAUCUCCCAUCUAAUCCUUGCUUCCAUGGUGUGCUCAGUAGGGAGCUCUGGGGGAAUAGGUUCAGGUAUUUCGCUCAUUCUAUUGGAGCUUUCCUCACUAACAAGAUCCAGUACUUGAAGAUAAAAACCGAUAUAGAAUCGAAUGGAUAUAAUCGAUAUAGUUCGACCGCUAUCUCUCGCCGAUACGUAGGUCGAUGAGGAACGGAUAGAUAUAGAUAGUGCCGCAAUCGUCCCUGAUGAGGAGGUCGGUGAGGUCGGAUAGAUGGAUAUAAUUAGAUAGAUAUCUCGCCGAUAGGGAAGUCGGUGAGGAUAAAUAGAUAUAGAAAUCUUUGCCGAUAAGGAGGUCGGUAUGGAUAGAUAUCAAUAUAAUUGGAU
rnacentral:sRNA from 2 species